UACGUAGGGUGCGAGCGUUAAUCGGAAUUACUGGGCGUAAAGCGUGCGCAGGCGGUUUUCCAAGACAGAUGUGAAAUCCCCGGGCUCAACCUAGGAAUGGCAUUUGUGACUGGAAGGCUAGAGUGUGUCAGAGGGGGGUAGAAUUCCACGUGUAGCAGUGAAAUGCGUAGAGAUGUGGAGGAAUACCGAUGGCGAAGGCAGCCCCCUGGGAUAACACUGACGCUCAUGCACGAAAGCGUGGGGAGCAAACAGG
rnacentral:rRNA from 1 species